rnacentral:rRNA from 1 species
AGAGUUUGAUCCUGGCUCAGGACGAACGCUGGCGGCGUGCUUAACACAUGCAAGUCGAACGGAAAGGCCCUUCGGGGUACUCGAGUGGCGUACGGGUGAGUAACACGUGGGUGAUCUGCCCUGCACUUUGGGAUAAGCCUGGGAAACUGGGUCUAAUACCGAAUAUGACCAUGCGCCUCCUGGUGUGUGGUGGAAAGCUUUUGCGGUGUGGGAUGGGCCCGCGGCCUAUCAGCUUGUUGGUGGGGUAAUGGCCUACCAAGGCGACGACGGGUAGCCGGCCUGAGAGGGUGACCGGCCACACUGGGACUGAGAUACGGCCCAGACUCCUACGGGAGGCAGCAGUGGGGAAUAUUGCACAAUGGGCGCAAGCCUGAUGCAGCGACGCCGCGUGAGGGAUGACGGCCUUCGGGUUGUAAACCUCUUUCAGCACAGACGAAGCGCAAGUGACGGUAUGUGCAGAAGAAGGACCGGCCAACUACGUGCCAGCAGCCGCGGUAAUACGUAGGGUCCGAGCGUUGUCCGGAAUUACUGGGCGUAAAGAGCUCGUAGGUGGUUUGUCGCGUUGUUCGUGAAAACUCACAGCUUAACUGUGGGCGUGCGGGCGAUACGGGCAGACUUGAGUACUGCAGGGGAGACUGGAAUUCCUGGUGUAGCGGUGGAAUGCGCAGAUAUCAGGAGGAACACCGGUGGCGAAGGCGGGUCUCUGGGCAGUAACUGACGCUGAGGAGCGAAAGCGUGGGGAGCGAACAGGAUUAGAUACCCUGGUAGUCC